GGAGCCAGCGCCGCGCAGCCUGGGCGGCCGGAGUCGGGGCAGGGGAGACGGGUUCAAAAAAUAAUUAAAAAUCGAGGAAAUACCCCAGACAAGACCUUUCGCCGUGAAAACCCCACAGAGGACCCAGGCUACCCGCAACGGAGGUUUGGGGUGCCGGGAAGGUCUGGACCGCGACCCCUGGGGCUUUGGAUACCGAGGGGGAAACUUGCAGGGGUGAGCGCGGCGGCGGGAGUGUCCGGCCGCGGCCCACAAGGGCAGAGGCCGGGGACGGUGGCGAAGAGCUGGGGGACAGACGAGAACGGGGAGCCGCCGGAGAGAGGCGCGGGGGGCUCCGGCCUCUCCUUCGGGGGGGACCCGCUAUCGCCCCUGCACACACCUCCUCCCCCCUCCCACCCCACCCAGCUCUCCGCACCCAGGAAACUGAAGGCCGAAACGAGGACAUAUGACAAAACUGGCUCCUACAGGAUUGACGUUGAAAAUUCACCUUCCAGAAGAUGCCCGGGCAUCCGUGUAGACUGGACUUGGUCUCCACCCUCUUUGUCCUGGGCAGUCAGACCUGGUGCCUGGUGGUGACCUCGAGCCAGAAGAAGCCUCUCGCCAAGAUCACCAAGAAGGCGGCAUUCGUUUCUCCGUGCUGGCUAAGCUAGGAAAGCCUGGCUUUGAGAGGUUUUUUGUAACAAGAAUUGAAACCUAAAGGAUUUUUUUUCAAAUUAUCCUUCAGGGGCUUCCCUGGUGGCGCAGUGGUUGGGAGUCCGCCUGCCGAUGCAGGGGACACGGGUUCGUGCCCCGGUCCGGGAGGAUCCCACAUGCCGCGGAGCGGCUGGGCCCGUGAGCCACGGCCGCUGAGCCUGCGCGUCCGGAGCCUGUGCUCUGCAACAGGAGAGGCCACAACAGUGAGAGGCCCGGGUACCGCAAAAAAAAAAAAAAAUUAUCCUUCAGCUGCCAGAAAUGGAGUUUGGAAGAACUUCUCCAAACUCUGGGGGCUUUGGCCAAUGGACCUUUUACUGUAACAAGUACAUCAGAAGCCAAUAAAUUGGGGAAGAAGGUACACACUUUACCAAAAGAUUUCUUGCUGAGCGAGACACUCUCCCACCGUGCAUCUUUAAACAGAGCAAUUCGGACACAUUUUAAAUGGCUUCAUUCACUUGAAAGUGAGAGCUGUCUGUUGCAUUCAGAAAAUGUGGCGAAGUGUACUUGAUUUUGAAAUCCUCAAAAAUCAUAUCACGUUCAAGCUAAAAAGGGCACUUGGGUCUUAUCUCCUCCGCUUAAAGGAGAUGCCACAGCGACCUGGAGAAAUUAAGUGACGUGGUGGCGCCUCAAGGCUUUGUCUGCGGCAGGCCAUCCGGUUUCCAGCUUUCUCCCGUGACUGGACGCCUUCUUUGCAUCCCAGCUACCCGACCGUCCCUGGUUAGGACUCUCUACCUGGUCCUCAGCUGCUGUCAUGGAUGCGUAAUCAUCGAUCCCCUUCUGGGUAUUUUUGGUAUUGCUUUUUCCUGUUUUCAUGGAAAAUUUUCAAACAUAAAGGUAGAGAAUAUAAUAUAAAUAACUCCCAUGUGCUCUACCCAGCUUCUACAAUUAUUAACAUACGGCCAAUCUUCUUUUAUGCAUACCUCGCCCCAGAUUCCCCUGCUGCACAGAUGAUUUUAAAGCAAAUCCAAAUAUCACGCAAUUUCAUCUGUAAACACUCCAAGUGUACCCACAGAAGAACCCUCUCAUACAUACGUAUAUAUGUACAAUAUAGUGAUCACAACUAAAAAAAAGAACAAUAAUUCCUUAAUAUCCAAUUUCCCCGAUUGUCUGUCUGUCACUCUUUUGCAACUGAUUUGUUAGAAUAAGAAUCCAGCGGAAGGUUGGGUUGCAGGUAUCGGGCAGAAUGAUCAGCUGCUCAUUCAAAGUUCUUGCAUGAGGAUGUUUGCUGAAUGAGAGGGAAUAAAUUACAUAAGAAAAAUACUUUAUGAUAAUUAUAGAUCACAGUUAUCUAUGCCUUUAUACUUCCUAAGCUUCUUUGACCCAUGACCUGCAUGUCUGGAGAUGUUAUGGGAUCCAAUUAGGGGUCCAGCAGAGACCACCUGAUUCCUGAAAACAGCAAAGCACCAUGAUAACCUCCAGCUCAUUAAAAUUCUAGCCUCUCCUUUUAAAAGGAGAGGCUCGAGAGAUUCUCACCCUCUUCGAGACACUUUUUUUUUAGAGAACCUCCUGUAGCCUUCACAGGAACCCUGUAAAGUAGGUGCCUUCGUUCUCAUUCCACUGAGGAAUCCCAGGCACGGAGGGGCUGAGACAUUUCCUCAAGGUCACCCAGCAUUUAAACUCUGUCGUAUACUAAUAUAUGACACCACCUGUAAUAUACUAGUAUCGAUUACAAGGCAACUGUAAUUUUCAGUGUUGAAAAGUCACCUUGAUUAACUUUAUCAGUUUUCCCUUUUAGAAUAUGGCUUUGAUGUAUGAAAGGAAAUGCCGUUUAAGGCAACUUCGACUCUUCA